rnacentral:rRNA from 1 species
UACGGGAUAAUAUAUUUGAGAGGCAUCUCUUAAAUAUCAAAGGUGAGCCAGUACAGGAUGGACCCGCGUCUGAUUAGCUAGUUGGUAAGGUAACGGCUUACCAAGGCGACGAUCAGUAGCCGACCUGAGAGGGUGAUCGGCCACAUUGGAACUGAGACACGGUCCAAACUCCUACGGGAGGCAGCAGUGGGGAAUAUUGCACAAUGGGCGAAAGCCUGAUGCAGCAACGCCGCGUGAGUGAUGAAGGCCUUCGGGUCGUAAAACUCUGUCCUCAAGGAAGAUAAUGACGGUACUUGAGGAGGAAGCCCCGGCUAACUACGUGCCAGCAGCCGCGGUAAUACGUAGGGGGCUAGCGUUAUCCGGAUUUACUGGGCGUAAAGGGUGCGUAGGCGGUCUUUCAAGUCAGGAGUGAAAGGCUACGGCU